AUAUAGUGAUGGAGCUCAACCGCAGUACAGCCGUCAACAACAAACAGGAAGUGACGUCUCUCUCUAUCUGUGUAGUUCUAGGCACUGUCAGGAGCAGCUGGUCAGCUGACCUGAGAGAGCGGCUGGGAAUGUAGGGGUGCAGCAACUCGGCGAAAUACGGUAGGGCAAGGCCAUUCAAGGCUUUAAAAGCAAAUAAGAGUAGUUUAAAUUGAAUCCUAAAAUGCACAGGCAGCCAGUUGAGUGAAGCUAAAAUAGGUGAAAUGUGCUCAUACUUUCUUGUGCCAGUUAAAAGACGAGCAGCAGCAUUUUGAACCAGUUGCAGACAGGCAAUGGAGGACCCAUUAACCCCCAAAUAAAGUGCAUUGCAGUAGUCCAGCCGAGUGGUCACAAAGGUGUGAAUUACUGACUCAAAGUGCUGUUUCUGGAGGACUGGUUUAAUUUUUUUGCCAGCUGCCUUAACUGGAAAAAACUGGACUUCACUACGGCUUUAAUCUGGUAUUCAAACUUAAGGUCAGUCAUCAGCAAGUCGUUUCCCAUCGUGCUUUUGAUCAGCACAGUAGGUGGAGAGCAACUGCGCUCGACUGCAGAAUCGAGAUGGGUAUAAACGGAGGUCGGAGCCAGCUCCAAAUGGGCGGGUCAGCUCCAAAUGGGUGGGACUUCAGCUCCAAGUGGGCUGUACAAACCUCCAGAGCCUUUUGAUUGGUUUAUUUAAUGUCAGAGGGUUAAUGCACGCUGCGAAAGUGAAAAUGGGAGGACAUUCAUGUGCAGUUUUUACAUUCAAAACUCAUAUAUACGAUUAUAUCGAGAUCACGUUAAAACAGCAUUAGCAGCACAGAUAAAUUACAUCUUUAUUGUGUCUGUUACCCUUUUGUGCUAAAUAUUUCUGCAAUACAUAUUUAGGAUUUACGCUGCAGAUUAUGGACACUGAAGACCAUAAGCAUAUUGUGACUAACGUUACGUAAAAUAUGUAGGCCUAUGUAUUAUAACUGCACUGAUAUUUAAGCGAUCAAUAACUAUUAAUAGAUUUAGUACAGUGUUCCAUAAGAAUGAGUCUUAGUUACAACUCCUAACUGAUUAUGCUUGACUUCAACAAAGCUGGUCAUUGUUUCAAAACCUGCUGUUAUAUUUUUAAAAUGUUAUCUAUUUUUACGUGUAACGUUAAUUCAAAUAAUGUAAUGCAACUGAAACAUUUGGUUUAAUUACCAAAUUAAUUUUUCAAUUUAAUAAUCAUAACAGUGGAUAUAUGAGGAUAACUGCAGUGUCCACUACCAUGCAUUACAUAUCAACAGGUAUAGAAUUAAUUUUGUCAUUGUAGGAAACACAAACAAACAAAAACAUUAUGUGUAAACAUUGUGUUACAGAAAGUUCAAGUCUGGGUGGCCAAAAGUUAUAUUUCAGUGACCUGGUUACCGCCUCUCUCUGCAAACCCAAAGGAUCACCUUCCUCAGCGGAUCUACUCCAAUCAUCAUUAACGGGACCACAGUGGAGAGAGUGAGCAGCUUCAAAUACCUUCAAAUGCCCUGCAAAGAGUAGCUGAGCACAUGUCCAGAACAUCUCUCCCCUCUCUGCAAGACAUCCACACCAGAAGAUGUAAAUCUAAGGCUGUUUAGAUCCUUAAAGACCCCACCCACCCUGGAAAUCCACUGUUUCAUCUGCUACAGUCAGGCAGACGAUUCUGCAGUCUGAUGACAAAAACAGAGAGGCUCAGGAGGAGUUUCUUCCCUCAUGCUAUCAGACUACUAAACAUGGACAUUAAACACACUGAACUUUAUAGACCGGUUGUUUAGGGCUACCCAAUAACUCUCUGCACACUGCUUUUUUGACAACCUAACUAUGCAACUCCUCCUCACUGCACAUUGUCUACAUCUCUGCACAUCAUCUGUGUAGCAGUUUCUGUGUAGCUUCUCUACAAAUCAUCUGUGUAGUAGUUUAAUACAGUAUAUUGUGUAUAUUUUAUACAGUAUAUUUUUUCCUGUUGUUUCAUUAUUUUAUUUUUUUUGCACAGUCUAAAAAGAGUAUGCCAGACCUACAUUUCACUGCUUUUUGCAUGUCAUAUAAAACUUGAAUUUUUAAUGGU